AAAUUGAAGAGUUUGAUCAUGGCUCAGAUUGAACGCUGGCGGCAGGCCUAACACAUGCAAGUCGAACGGUAACAGGAAGCAGCUUGCUGCUUCGCUGACGAGUGGCGGACGGGUGAGUAAUGUCUGGGAAACUGCCUGAUGGAGGGGGAUAACUACUGGAAACGGUAGCUAAUACCGCAUAACGUCGCAAGACCAAAGAGGGGGACCUUCGGGCCUCUUGCCAUCGGAUGUGCCCAGAUGGGAUUAGCUUGUUGGUGGGGUAACGGCUCACCAAGGCGACGAUCCCUAGCUGGUCUGAGAGGAUGACCAGCCACACUGGAACUGAGACACGGUCCAGACUCCUACGGGAGGCAGCAGUGGGGAAUAUUGCACAAUGGGCGCAAGCCUGAUG
rnacentral:rRNA from 1 species